AUGCGUACGCGUUGGGUUCCACCAUAUUAUCAACGUGAAUUGCUUCAAAAAUUGCAGCGUUUAAGACAAGGAAAAAAUUCUGUAGAAGAAUAUUAUGAGGAAUUACAAACUGGCAUGAUUAGAUGUGGUAUUGUUGAGGAGAAUGAAGCUAUGCUUGCACGUUUUCUUGGUGGAUUAAAUAGAGAGAUUCAGACCAUUCUAGACUAUAAGGAGUAUACUAAUAUCACUCGUUUAUUCCAUCUUGCUUGUAAAGCUGAACGUGAAGUGCAGGAUCGACAAGCAUUGGGGCGAACUAACUUUUCUGCAGGCCGACCUUCAUCAUGGACACCACGUGCAUCUUCUACUUCAACUGCACCAGCACCUCCAUCCGGUGCCACCUCCAGCCGUGAUACAAGAAAACAGGCACAACCACCAUUAUCUGCCAAGAGCGCACCUGCGGGGCCUGCACAGCGUUCUUCUUCUUCCAUGGCAUCAACAGGGCACACAAGUGAUAUUAUUUGUCGUCGUUGUAAGGGAGGAGGUCAUUAUGCGAGAGAAUGCAAAUCUUCGUGA
rnacentral:rRNA from 1 species